rnacentral:lncRNA from 1 species
CGUGGGCUGCUGGCUGCCGCUGUGGGAACGAUGACAGACGAUCAGGACUGUGCUGCAGAGCUGGAAAUGGCAGAUUCUUCGACGGAAGACGGAGUUGACGCUAAGCCAGACCGCUCCACCAUCAUCUCAUCCCUUCUCUGGCAGAAUGCUUCGUCGGUACACAGGGACACCUCGGUUCACCGCACACGGGAGUCCUGCAUCUGAGCCCAAGUGUCUGUGUGUUCAGUGGCUUUUCUGCACAGUGCAAAGUGCACACACAGUGAGACGAGGUCAAGCAAGCACCACCUGAAGCUCCUCUGAUGCGCUGUGCUGUUGGCUGUCCACCAUUUUCUGGUCUGUGUGUGAAAAUUUUUCUACUGUUGCCAAAACGUUUCUGUGCCCCCCCUUCCUCGGUUACACAACUGCAUAUUAAGGGGUCUGUGACUCCCAGAACUGGCUUUUUAAAUAAAACACUGUCCACCUACCAGGGGGACAUCCAUGUAAAUGAAAUGCACUUAGGAUCCGUGAUGUCCCUAAAGUGCAGAUUCUCUUUGCUAAUUUUUUUAACCUAAAAUGGAACUUUUUAUUUCAUCUAUUAAAGUUUCCUUGGCUUUACACUUCA